rnacentral:rRNA from 1 species
AACGAACGCUGGCGGCAUGCCUAACACAUGCAAGUCGAACGAGACCUUCGGGUCUAGUGGCGCACGGGUGCGUAACGCGUGGGAACCUGCCCUUAGGUUCGGAAUAACUCCCCGAAAGGGGUGCUAUUACCGGAUAAUGUCUUCGGACCAAAGAUUUAUCGCCUUUGGAUGGGCCCGCGUUGGAUUAGCUAGUUGGUAGGGUAAAAGCCUACCAAGGCGACGAUCCAUAGCUGGUCUGAGAGGAUGAUCAGCCACACUGGGACUGAGACACGGCCCAGACUCCUGCGGGAAGCAGCAGUGGGGAAUAUUGGACAAUGGGCGAAAGCCUGAUCCAGCAAUGCCGCGUGAGUGAUGAAGGCCUUAGGGUUGUAAAGCUCUUUUACCCGGGAUGAUAAUGACAGUACCGGGAGAAUAAGCUCCGGCUAACUCCGUG